UGGAAACGAUUAAGCUUAUCCGCGCUUCUGAUGCUUCGUGCAGUGAAGUAAAAAUGGAUGGUUGAAUUUCUUGAUAUGAGCCA
rnacentral:snoRNA from 1 species